UACGUAGGGCGCAAGCGUUGUCCGGAAUUAUUGGGCGUAAAGAGCUCGUAGGCGGCUUGUCACGUCGGGUGUGAAAGCCCGGGGCUUAACCCCGGGUCUGCAUUCGAUACGGGCAGGCUAGAGUGUGGUAGGGGAGAUCGGAAUUCCUGGUGUAGCGGUGAAAUGCGCAGAUAUCGGGAGGAACACCAGUGGCGAAGGCGACUACCUGGCCUGUUCUUGACGCUGAGGCGCGAAAGCUAGGGGAGCAAACGGG
rnacentral:rRNA from 1 species